CAUGCGCAGCUGCUGUGGUGUUGCUGCUGGCUUCACUUCCUGCCGGGAGACGCUGUGGGAGCGGCGGUGAUGACGUCCGGAGGCCGAGUGGUUCCUACGCCACUCAAUGUCGUCACGGCGCGCGGUGCCGCCUGCUCUCCCGGUAGCAGUUGGUGCCCCAUCCCGUGAACUUCCGCUGAGGCUGUCAAGUCCUUCUGCCAGCCGCGGACCCGAGCGCGUAACAGAUGCAAUUUCCCUGUAGGCAUUCUUAAAAGUCUGGCUUUUCAAGAAUAAUAUUAAUAAAAAAAAGACCCGUGUCUGGUGCUCCUUAGGUAUGAACACACCAAGUCUGACAAAGUUUUUGUUAGAAGGCUUUCAUUUGCAGACUCAGAACUAAAUAUUUUUUAUCAUAAAUGCACUCAAGAAGUACUCAUCAACGUCUUUAACUAUUGUACCGUAUAAGCAAUGAGAAUUUGUUCUUUUGGGUAAGUCUGUAGAAAACACUUCCCCAGGUUUGCUUCCCAACCUGCGUUCUGGAGUGCUCAAAGUGUAUUUGCUCACAGGAGCCGGCCGGAUCCAGCCCAGAGCACUGACUCACAUCACAGAUGCUGAGGGUAUAUGGGGCGGUUGUUCAGGUAUGGUUACAAGGUGGUGUGACGCCCUGUAACAACAAUUUUAAUUCAUCAGGAGAUUAUUGAAUUUUAAGGAAAUGCUCAAAAGGGUAAUGCAGGGAAGGGCCACGUUGUUUAGUGAGCCACAUCAGAAUCUUCAACGCUGAUAUAUAAUUAGCUUCAAAUAAGGCCAGGGUGGUUGGGCAAGGCAGCAAUCCUGCAGCGUCCUGGUGGUAAACUACUUCAGAAAGUAUUUUGCAAUAUUAAUGAAUCCCAGAAGUCCGGCACACCUCUCCUACAAAGAAAGGCUGAGGGAGCUGGGGGCGCUCAGCCUGGAGAAGAGAAGGUUCCAGGGAGAUCUCAUUAUGGCCUCCCAGUACCUGAAGGGAACUUGUAAUGAGGAGGGAUAAUGACUUUUUACAGGGGCAGACGGUGAUAGGACUAGGGAAAUGGUUUUAAACCGAAAGAGGGAUGAUUUAAAUUAGAUAUUAGGAGGACAUUUUUUUCUCAGAGGGUGGUUAGGCACUGGAACUGCUGCCCAGAGAAACCGUGGAUGCCCCAUCCCUGGAGGCUCUCAAGGCCAUGGGGGGGGGGGAGUUAGGAGAGAUGAGCUGUCUGAGCUGGUAGGUGGCAACCAGCCCACAGCAGGGGCUGGAACUGGAUGAUCUGUAAGAUCUCCUCCAACCCAAGACAUUCUAUGAUUCAGUGUUUCUAUAAUUCUUUUAUUUUCAUGAUACCAUUGUAUUUACUAAAUAACUAAGUAAAUACAAUAAUACCCAGCCUUCCUUGAUAUGAAGAUCUUAUGCUUUUGACUAAUUAAGUUACAAGUAUCUUCCUACUCUGGCAGACUACAUGAUCUCAGCAGCAUCACUCAGGAUACAUCUUUUAUAAUUUUAAAGAAUCAUAUACAAGUACAGAUAUGUUCCUCAGCACUGCUGGCUGCUCACCUUCACCUGCCUUGAGAUGGAGCUUAGAAAAGGCCUACUCCAGUUUUAGCAACCUAAUCAUAAGGAAGAUGUGCCCUGCCCAUGGCAGAGGAGGUUGGAAAUAAUUAGUUGUUAAAAGUCCC
rnacentral:lncRNA from 1 species